UCCGUAGGCGGGUAAUUAAGUCAGAGGUGAAAUCCCACAGCUUAACUGUGGAACUGCCUUAGAUACUGGUUAUCUUGAGUUUUAGUGAAGUAGAUAGAAUGUGUAGUGUAGCGGUGAAAUGCAUAGAUAUUACACAGAAUACCGAUUGCGAAGGCAGUCUACUAACUAACAACUGACGCUAAUGGACGAAAGCGUGGGGAGCGAUCAGGAUUAGAUACCCUGGUAGUCC
rnacentral:rRNA from 1 species